rnacentral:lncRNA from 1 species
CCAAUACCCAGCCUCGUCUCUGGUUUCCUGUCAGUCUGUCCUCCCCUGGGAGGGGAGGGGCGCUAAUCUCCGCUGUGGUGUGGGGGCGGGCUCCAAGACCGUUGGGCGCCCUGAGAUCUGGCCCACGUGGCCUCGGGGUUAUAAGCCCUGCCCGCCCUGAAGGGAACCCCACUUGGGAGCCUGGAGCGCAGGACUUGCUCCCUUCAGCCCUGCAGCAUCAGGUAAGGGUCCGAACUUUCACUUCAGCCCCAAUCGGGCUCCUCGACUCUGGGCCUCAAGGGGCAAUGAGGGGUUGGGGUUUCGGGCCCUGGGUGGAGAAGCUUUCGGGGAGGCUUCAGGGGCUUGGGUGCCAAGGCUUACUAGCAAAGCUCUAGGCAAAAAGGUGCAAUAACGCUCAGAUCUACUGGCCUUCAUAGUGGCACAACUCUUCAAAAUCCUGGGCCUUGACUUCUCUCUAGAUGAGGAAGGUAAAAUGGCUCCUGGCCCCCAGAUGAAGAAAGAGGGGUUCAAGGUUUCAAGGGACAAGGGCCAGAGAGUAGGGUGGGAACGGCAGAGGGUGGGCAGAGGCUGAAAAGUGGGAUGUGGUGUCAGUGAGAGGCACUAAGUGUCUCCCGCCGCCCAAUAUGGCUACCAUCUCCGUUGCAAUAGCCUUGGGCGCCUGCCUGGGGAGUUCCCGGGCAGCGAAGGAGUCAGGGCCUUGGGCUGGUGAGGAGGUUGGGGACUGAGCCCUAGGGGGAAGGGAAGAGGGAACCAAAGAGGAAGUGGGGGGAGGGAGGUAGAGGAGGCUAGUCUGGCGCCAUGCUGAGUCACCGCCCACAGGGCCCAGGGCGGGCCCUUUCGGGGCUACGGAGAAGGGUGUUGGGGUCUUGGGAAGCCACGGGGAGGGCUGAGGGGCUCUUGAAGCAGGAGUCAGGAGGAGGAGCGGGCGGCCUGAAGAGUACCCGCAGACGGACAGACAGACAGUGCAGUCACCCAUAAAGUAGAAAGCACUACUAACAGCACUGGAGGGUGUAGUGUUUCCUACUUUAUGGAUGAGUGUACUGUGGGCUUCGGAGACCACGCCGCCGCCGCCCGCCACCGUCUUCCUCCACACUCAGGACCGUGUGUGACAGGUGAGCCCCUCAGGCACCCUCCCCACCCCACUCGAACCCCUGAAAGGCCUUCACUGCCCCCUGUGGUGCUGUCCCUCCUGGUUCCGGCCAACCAGGGAAAUGCCACAUCAGCUCCUCCGCUGCCUUGAGGCCUGGGAGGGCUGGACAUUUGGACCUGACGCAGCUGUGGAGAGGCCCCGGCGCCGGGGCCCAGCCUCGAAUGGACAGAUGCCAGGACAAAGAAGAGGCGGGAAAGGAGGGUAGAUGGAAGGGAAUGGGGGGGGUGUGUGCCAGGGACCCCAACACUAAUAAAGAAUGGACUCUGCUUCUCUUUUGUCUGAGAUUCUGUUGCUGGGAUUGGGAGGCUGAAUGGGUUCAGCAGGCACAUUGGUGGGGUGGGUGCACAGAGGGACUGGGAGGGAGAAUCACUCUCACUCUCCUGAGAGAUAUGAGUUUGGCCCUGCCUUUGAGACCAGAAGAGGGCUCUGGGCCUGGCCAGGCCGCAGCUGCCAAGGAAGGAUGCCUGGGGUGAGGACCUCCCUGCAAACGGAGGAAAGGGGGCAGGACAUGGAGGGGCAGGGUCAUGAGAGCCCUCCCACCUUUUACUUGAACUCUGGCUCUGCCCUCCACUUACUUUCCACACCCCCAAACUGAAGGCUGCCUACCACCAGUCCUAAUCUAAGAAAGUCUAGAGGGUUGUUGGUAGUAUAAGAAGUGGACACACACCCACUAUGGCCCCCACACAAAGCAUCUUCUACUUAGACAAGGGCACAGAUACUCCUAUACAAAGCACAUACUUUGUCAUGUGUGUGCAUUUACGUACAGGGUCCCUGUACACAUAUGCUAUCAACACACGUGUACAGUGACAGACACAUGUGACAUGGCUGGCAUGUCACACAAUGAUAUACGCACACUCAGGACACAUACAUAUUCAACGGUACACACACGUGCAAUGAUACAAACACAUAUGAUGUGUGUCACGCGUAGAAGAGAAUACAAAUACGCGCAUAGUGACAUUCACAUAAUAGACACAUUGGUUCCAUACACACACAAAUAUAGUGACUCACUCAUACAUGGUGAUAAAUAUACAAUAGGUACAUGGUGAUAUCUAUACAUCUAGAUAUCUAGAUAUAAAUGAAACCAUGUCAUUGUAUGGCAUUACACACAUUUACAUGACUGUAUGAUAGUGUGUCGUUACAUAUUGUGUAAUGCCAUAUAAUGGCAUCUGUACACAUAUAUCGUGUCAUAUGUGUUGUAAUUUAUACACACACAAUCAUAGCCUCAUAUACACAUAACAGCAUACAGACACUGUUGCAAGCAGGCAUCUAUGCAAUGACAUAGAAACAUGCAUGCAUAUAUAUCCAGGGAGACUUAUAGACACAUAAAAGCACAUACACACAUACAUAUGUAUGUAUGUGUGUACAUAUGUAAAAUAAUACAAUGGCCCCACACACAUAUACAGAGAUAAAUAUACAGUAAUAUGCUGCAUAACAACGUUUCAGUGAACAACAGACCACAUAUAUGACGGUGGUCCCAUAAGAUUAGUACCAUAUAGCCUAGAUGUGUAGUAGGCUGUACCAUGUAGGUUCGUGUAAGUACCCUCUGUGAUGUUUACACAAUGACAAAAUCACCUAACAAUACGUUUCUCAGAACGUAUCCCCGUCAUUAAGCAACACCUAGGCUAUAUGGUAUAGCCUGUUACUCUUAAGCAACAAACUCGUACAGCAUGUUACUGUACUGAAUACUGCAGGCAACUGUAACACAAUGGUAAAUAUUUGUGUAUCCAAACAUAGAAAAGAUACAGUAAAAAUAUGGUAUAAAAGAUCAAAAUGGUACACCUGUAUAGGGCAGCUACCGUGAAUGGAGCUUGCAGGACUGGAAGUUGCUCCAGGUGAGUCACAGAGUGAGUGGUGAGUGAAUGCGAAGGCCCAGGACAUCACUGCACACUACUGUAGACAUCAUUUUUUUUUUCCUUUUUCUCCCCAAAGCCCCUCGGUACAUAGUUGUAUAUUUUAGUUGUGCGUCCUUCUAGUUGUGGCAUGUGGGAUGCCACCUCAGCGUGGCCUGACGAGCGGUGCCAUGUCUGCGCCCAGGAUCUGAACCAGCGAAACCCUGGGCCACCUAAGUGGAGUGCAUGAAUUUAAUCACUCGGCCACGGGGCCGGCCCCUACUGUAG